rnacentral:rRNA from 1 species
UACAGAGGAGCCAAGCGCUGUCCGGAUUGACUGGGCGUAAAGCGCACGCAGGCGGUUGCGCGCGUGGGGUGUGAAAUCUGGCCGCUUAACGGCCAGGCGCCAUCCCAUACGGCGCGACUGGAGUGAUGCAGAGGUCGAUGGAAUUGCCGGUGUAGUGGUGAAAUGCGUAGAGAUCGGCAGGAACGCCCAGGGGGAAACCAGUCGACUGGGCAUCUACUGACGCUGAGGUGCGAGAGCGUGGGGAGCGAACCGG